AGUCGUACGCUUUGAUCUCGUAACUGAUAUGACGAGCUUGCUCUGAUUUGAUUUUAUCUGACAAAGAGUGGCGAACGGGUGAGUAACACGUGGGUAACCUACCUCUUAGCAGGGGAUAACAUUUGGAAACAAGUGCUAAUACCGUAUAAUACCAACAACCGCAUGGUUGUUGGUUGAAAGAUGGUUCUGCUAUCACUAAGAGAUGGACCCGCGGUGCAUUAGCUAGUUGGUAAGGUAACGGCUUACCAAGGCAAUGAUGCAUAGCCGAGUUGAGAGACUGAUCGGCCACAAUGGGACUGAGACACGGCCCAUACUCCUACGGGAGGCAGCAGUAGGGAAUCUUCCACAAUGGGCGCAAGCCUGAUGGAGCAACGCCGCGUGUGUGAUGAAGGGUUUCGGCUCGUAAAACACUGUUAUAAGAGAAGAACGGCACUGAGAGUAACUGUUCAGUGUGUGACGGUAUCUUACCAGAAAGGAACGGCUAAAUACGUGCCAGCAGCCGCGGUAAUACGUAUGUUCCAAGCGUUAUCCGGAUUUAUUGGGCGUAAAGCGAGCGCAGACGGUUAUUUAAGUCUGAAGUGAAAGCCCUCAGCUCAACUGAGGAAUGGCUUUGGAAACUGGAUGACUUGAGUGCAGUAGAGG
rnacentral:rRNA from 1 species